GACGAACGCUGGCGGCGUGCUUCAUACAUGCAAGUCGAACGAGAAGUUACCUUCGGGUGAUGGAAAGUGGCGGACGGGUGAGUAAUAUGUAGGAAAUCUGCCCUUAAGAGGGGGACAACAGAGGGAAACUUCUGCUAAUACCCCAUAUGAGCGUAGCUGAAAUGCUAUUCUUGAAAACUCCGGUGCUUAAGGAUGAGCCUGCAUCUGAUUAGCUAGUUGGGGGUGUAAUGGACCACCAAGGCGACGAUCAGUAGCUGGUUUGAGAGGAUGAUCAGCCACAAUGGGACUGAGACACGGCCCAUACUCCUACGGGAGGCAGCAGUCGGGAAUAUUGCGCAAUGGAGGAAAACUCUGACGCAGUGACGCCGCGUAUAGGAAGAAGGUUUUCGGAUUGUAAACUAUUGUCUGCAGGGAAGAAACAAGACUGUACCUGCAAAGAAAGCUCCGGCUAACUACGUG
rnacentral:rRNA from 1 species